CCCCCCGCAGACAUCUGUUUCUCAUUAAGCCUUGAUGAAUCUUAAUCAUUGUGGGACGUGCGAUUGGAUGUCCGUACUUCGUUUUAUCUAUAAAAAUCUUGCAUUUGAAUGUCCUCCUGGGUGAAGGUCAGUGGACCAGGUGGAUGUUUGGCACAACCCAACCAAUGAAGCAGGAGAUUUUGAGCAGCUCUGCAGCUUGCAGAGUGGAGGAGUGGGGCCUUCAGCUGAAAUUGGCAAGCUCUGCGGAUUCUCAUCACUGGGCAAGAGACUGGCGCUGUUCCGCAGUCAGCUUUGAAGAGCUCUCCUCAUCGCUGAAGACCACAAGUCAGGGAGAAGGAUGGAGGAUACAGUGCCGUGGAACUCAAAGGCAGCCACCCUUCCUCUACACAGCAGAGCCCGAUGGCCACCCACUCUACUGCAUCAUGGGUAAUGUAGUCCUUGGCUCCUCCGCCCACCCUCCAGUUCCCAUCUCUUCUCUUCUAGGAAGCAGAGCUAAUAUGAUGCAAACGCUUGUUUUUGUGGGAAGAUUGCAAACAGAAGAGAUGAGAUAG
rnacentral:lncRNA from 12 species